GCUGAAGUUGUUCUUACUGGUACACCAGAUCAGCCGUAUAAAUGCACUAAAUGUUCUGCUUGACUGCUUUUCUUUUUUAUCUUAAUAAAUUGCAUAUCUGCAGCAUCUUGACUCGCCUUUCUGAAAUUGUAGCUUAUCUCUCAUGGUGCAAUGGAAGUACUCCGUAUACUACAAGAUAGCUUCUCUGCAUUGUUGUUUGAUUAGUAACAAGUAUGCAACAUCCCAUGUCUGAAACUUCGUUUGAUUUAGUAACAAGUAACAAAUCAGACAGGGCAAGAAACCUGCACAUUUUCUGCUUCGCUGCCAUUUUUGUUAAGUAAUGUGCACAUGAAACCCAAUCCUGUAUAUGUACUGAUGGCAGUAUGCAUUUCAAUUUAGAAGAUUCCAAUGCUUCAUUUUUUGUAUCCGUGUUUGUCCUCUUGCAUUGUUUAAUAAGCAGAUCGGUCGACCACUAAUUAUACAUGUUGUUUUGAAUUUUGGCAGAAUUCGGGUGUUAUGCAUUUUUGAAAGUGUUGUGCAAUGGCAGAAAUUGGCAAGAGGACACCUCAAGUUGGUAUGAGGUUCAUAUAUUCGGAUGAGGCUUCGGUGUUUUGGGUAGAAUAUGGUGAGGAAAAGAUGCAUUAACUUAAGCAAAUUUGAUGGAAAAGCGACUUCACACAGAUUUGUGUGUUCCAAUGUGGGCACUAGAAGGAAAGCGCAAACUGAUCGUGAGCCAAAGCGCAAACCUUGUGAUGAUCAUGAUUUUAUUUUAGCAUGUGCAAGUCUAUUAGAUACUAGUAUUUUGGACAGAGUUAAGAAUAGUAUUUUGGGGCUAACUAUAAUCUUUUGUGGCCUAAGUGUACAAGUGAAACAGCCUAAUCUAUGUACUCCGGUGAUUGUCCAGUAGCAAGACUGUUGUUGCAUAAUUUGGAUGCUGAGUACUGCUAGAAUCGGUCUAAUGUGGCCUAUCUCUCCUCAUGUGUGCAUAUGGUUCACUCUUUGGAUUAAACUAUAGCCAAGUGUACAAGUAUACUGGCCUAAUAUAUCCAGUGUUCAGUGUCAAAAUUGUCCAGUUUGAAAAGGUU
rnacentral:lncRNA from 1 species